rnacentral:rRNA from 1 species
CAUCCUCUUCCCGACAAAGACACUUCCGGGAUCCUUCACCAUGUCCCCUUCCACGCCAUCGAAGAUGUUGUAAGCGUUUGUGAACCCGGCUGCCGCGAGCAUGUUGACUGCCCUGGCAGCGCGGUCACCUGACCGGCACGUGACCAGCAGGAUGUCUGCCGGCUCGGCUAUCGAUUUGACCUCGGUGACAAAGUCCGGAUUCCACUUCAGGUGUAACUUGGUUUUGCCUUCUUUUCUUUGAUAAAUCACGAAGGCCACGGGUAUGUUCCAGGCCAUCUCCGGGUGGCCGACGAAGGCGUACUCCAUCGUCGUGCGCACGUCGAUGACCUUCACCUUGUCCGGCGUGGAUUUCCACAUCUCGUAGGCCUGCGCGGCGGUCACAUAGAGACCGAGCGUGGUCUGUUUCCGUUCGGGAACCUCGCUGCCCGCAGUCAUGGCUGCAGGCUUGGCGGU